GAAAUGCGGGAAGUAAUGUGAAUUGCAGAAUUCAGGGAAUCAUCAAAUCUUUGAAGGCACAUUGCGCCCGCCAGCACUCUGGCGGGCAUGCCUGUUCUAGCGUCAUAUCAACCAUCAAGCCCCGGGCUUGUGUUGGGGACCUGCGGCUGCCCGCAGGCCCUGAAAAACAGUGGCGGGCUCGCUGUCACCCCGAGCGUAGUAGUAUUAUCUCGCUUAGGGCGUGCUGCGGGUUCCGGCCGUUAAACACCACCAUCCCCCAAGGUUGACCUCGGAUCAGGUAGGAAUACCCGCUGAACUUAA
rnacentral:misc_RNA from 1 species